rnacentral:rRNA from 1 species
GACAGAGGGUGCAAACGUUGCUCGGAAUCACUGGGCGUAAAGGGCGUGUAGGCGGGAUUGUAAGUCGGGCGUGAAAUCCCUGGGCUCAACCCAGGAACUGCACUCGAAACUACAGUCCUUGAGUGCCGGAGAGGAAAGCGGAAUACCUGGUGUAGAGGUGAAAUUCGUAGAUAUCAGGUGGAACACCAGUGGCGAAGGCGGCUUUCUGGACGGUAACUGACGCUGAGACGCGAAAGCGUGGGGAGCAAACAGG